rnacentral:tRNA from 1 species
AGGGGCGUAGCUCAACUGGCAGAGCGUCGGUCUCCAAAACCGAAGGUCGGGGGUUCGAGUCCCUCCGCCCCUGCCA